rnacentral:rRNA from 1 species
UACAGAGGUCUCAAGCGUUGUUCGGAUUCAUUGGGCGUAAAGGGUGCGUAGGUGGCGGGGUAAGUCAGGUGUGAAAUUUCGGAGCUCAACUCCGAAACUGCAUUUGAUACUGCCUUGCUUGAGGACUGGAGAGGAGACUGGAAUUCACGGUGUAGCAGUGAAAUGCGUAGAUAUCGUGAGGAACACCAGUGGCGAAGGCGGCUUCCUGGCCUGUUCUUGACGCUGAGGCGCGAAAGCUAGGGGAGCAAGCGGG